rnacentral:misc_RNA from 1 species
AACGCACAUUGCGCUCCCUGGUAUUCCGGGGAGCAUGCCCGUUUCAGAAUCAUAAAAAAUCUCACAACCCCGGGGUUUUCACGAACUCCGGGCGAGUGGAUCUGGAUGUCUUUGCUUUAGCAAUCAUCCGAAAAUGAUUGUAUGUGCACCAAUUGGCGUUCCAGUUGGGUUCCGAAGUGCAACAGAGUAUUCUAUUCGCUGAGGUCAAUCCAGUUGGGUCUCCGUCCGGAGCGCGUACCCAAAUAUUGCACGGUGGUGGCAUCAGCAGAUGUCUCCCUCUGAAUACUUGGUCUGAAAUCGGGCAAGAAAACCCGCUGAACUUAA